GAAAAGCUGCAUCAUAUUAAAUAUAGUGGGCUAAUUAUGGUUUCCUUUGUUUCAUGCUUAUUUAACUUGCUAAUAGUUUAAAAUUUGCUGCAUUGAACUUUGGAUUAUUGAACUGCAUUUUGUAAAUCUGUCCUGCGUUUUGAUUGUUUUGUGAAAUAUUCUUGUGUUCUGCAGUUACAUAAAAGAUUCGAUAUAUUGUUGACCUUGGCUAAAAACAGUCGGAAACCUCUCUCUAUCUAUAUCUCAUCUCUAUCUGUAUUCGUCAUCUGUUUCCGUAAUCUAUUUGGCUCCAUCUGACAUCCUGAUUAUAUAUUUUGUGCUGAUCAAGUGCUUGAUAAUUUCACGACACAUUAGGCUACAAUUCUCCUGUGUUCAAAGUUGCGUAUUGUGGGCUUGUGUACUUCAGUUUGCUCAUCUCAGUUAUAAGACGGGAUAAU